GAUGAACGCUGGCGGCGUGCCUAAUACAUGCAAGUCGAGCGAACAGACGAGGAGCUUGCUCCUCUGACGUUAGCGGCGGACGGGUGAGUAACACGUGGAUAACCUACCUAUAAGACUGGGAUAACUUCGGGAAACCGGCGCUAAUACCGGAUAAUAUAUUGAACCGCAUGGUUCAAUAGUGAAAUACGGUUUUGCUGUCACUUAUAGAUGGAUCCGCGCCGCAUUAUCUGGUUGGUAAGGUAACGGCUUACCAAGGCAACGAUGCGUAGCCGACCUGAGAGGGUGAUCGGCCACCCUGGAACUGAGCCACGGUCCAGACUCCUACGGGAGGCAGCAGUAGGGAAUCUUCCGCAAUGGGCGAAAGCCUGACGGAGCAACGCCGAGUGAGUGAUGAAGGUCUUCGGAUCGUAAAACUCUGUUAUUAGGGAAGAACAAAUGUGUAAGUAACUAUGCACGUAUUGACGGUAACUAAUCAGAAAGCCACGGCUAACUACGUG
rnacentral:rRNA from 1 species